UUUUUUUCAGAGUUGCACACAGUCUGGUAAUGGUCGUCUGGUUAACACAGGUUUUUAGCUGUGACUGUCCUUCCUUUGCCGUACCUGAAGUUGCU